AACGAACGCUGGCGGCAUGCCUAACACAUGCAAGUCGAACGGGCUGUAGCAAUACAGUCAGUGGCGAACGGGUGAAUAACGCGUGGGAACCUGCCUUGGAGUUCGGAAUAACCGCGGGAAACUGCGGCUAAUACCGGAUACGACCUAAGGGUGAAAGCAGCAAUGCGCUCCGAGAGGGGCUCGCGGCCUAUCAGCUAGUUGGCGAGGUAACGGCUCACCAAGGCGAUGACGGGUAGCUGGUCUGAGAGGAUGGCCAGCCACAUUGGGACUGAGAGACGGCCCAGACUCCUACGGGAGGCAGCAGUGGGGAAUCUUGCGCAAUGGCCGAAAGGCUGACGCAGCGACGCCGCGUGGAGGAUGACG
rnacentral:rRNA from 1 species